GCACGCCAGUCCUCCCCAGCGUGCAAAAGUCCAUCCCAGUCGGCGCGCGGGCUGUCAGCAGCGUGGAUUAAAUGUAGCUCCGGCCGCGCUGGGGGAUGUUUUUCCGGACAGGGCACUCUGUAUGUAAAGGAAUUUCUGACGUUUGAGCCCGCGCCCGGGUGGCUUUGGGGCCUGUUUAUUCUAUACCAUAACGUCUCCAAGGACUCCCUGCCGAAAAAACAGGACAAACACUGUCUCAAAAACUCUAAGCCUCAAAAAGAGGAGCUGUGUUCCAGUACGUAAAACCCCGAUCCACUGUUACUGGCCUCGAAAGAGCAGGUGUUGAGGAUGAGCGACAGAGAUCAGCCCUCCACUAUGGGGCUGGCACCGAGGAAGGACCAAGCAGGAGGCCAACAGAAAACAAACACACGCACACACACACACAAAAUGAUCAAAAACAUUGGAAAUCUGAGCCUCGAGAAACAACAGUGGUGACUUUGAGAAGGUGAUAACCUCCCCUUAUUCUCACCUAUUCCAUCACGUCUCACCCUACACUGCCACUGGGAAAUGUGAGAAGAGAAGGGUGGCAAAGAAAGUGAAGGAACUGAAGUCCAGAAAAUUUAAGUAACUUGUCUAAAUACCUGCAGUCAUCCAGAGGUAGGGGAAACCCUGGAAUCCUGGUAGGUGAUUGGUGCCGUGUUCUUUACUCUAUAGCACAAUUCUUCUUCUCAGAGAAA